rnacentral:pre_miRNA from 1 species
UAAUUACUCCCUCCGAUCCAUGUUAGUUGUCGAAAUAUUACAUGUAUCUAGAUGCUUUUUACGCAUAAAGACAUCCAUAUUUGGGCAAAUUUGAGACAAUUAAUAUGGAUCGGAGGGAGUAUUAU